AUAUAUAUAUAUAGUUAUAUAUUAUUAUGAUUUCGUAAAACGACCGCCGCCGAGAAACGGAAAAAUCGCGUCUCGCGCGCGAGCGGGUGGGUGGCGGCGACGAGCCGGGAAAACGAGGAGAAAAACCGAUGCCGUCGACGAGACGGACUGUCAUCGUCCGCGGACGCGCGAGUGCGCUUUUACGCGCCGCAAAAACCUUUGAUCGCGAUCAUCUAUAUAUCAACCUUGUGUAUAUAUCUAUAUAUAUAUAUGUAUAGUGCGCAGAGUUCCGGUGUACGUAUAUAAGUUUCGGAACGUAUAUUGUAUAUAUACAUAAAUAUUUUGUCGUGUGUGUAAAGUUUUUGUAGAACGUAUAAUUCCGGUAUAUAGUGAUAUAUAUAUAUAUAUAUAACAUAUAAGCAAUGGCGUAAUAAUUAUACAGCAUUUACAUUAGUUCGGGCAAAAAAAUCUAAUGUAAAGGCUCUGGUUUUUUAUACGAAUUGUUAAAUUGUUGAAGGCAUCCAUACAUCAAUAAGAGAUUUGAUCGAUUUAAUAAAUUUAUACAACGUAAAAAAUACUACAUGGAAGUCAUUACCAUAAGCCUGGAAGUGGCUGGAAGUAGAGAGUAGUGGGUACCGCACCCAUUUCAUUUGAAUAUACAAUAAGUUUACAGUUGUAAUUUUAUUUUGCUGAGAACAAUCAUCUACUCAAGGGCUGUAUUUUUGGCCGUUGAGCGUUAAUAUUCAUUGUUGGCAUUGAUCGAUACGUCUAAUUUGGGAUCGGUGUCGACACGUCGCAUAUCGAAGAAUUUUUUUUCUGCUUGGUGCUUGUUCUAUAUGAUCGCUUCCUUAUAGCGUGUAAAUAGUUCGAUAAAAUAAUAUGAAAUCGAUUUGAAGCAGACGAUUCCUAUUAACAAAAUGUUUCUGAGUUUCGCCAAUUGUUCGUCAAGUCCCAGGAUAAGGUCCUGCGGUGGAGGCGGUGGCGAUGACGACGACAUAUUUUGCUGCAACGACGAGUACUCCGCUAAGGCUGCAGGCAUUACAC